rnacentral:rRNA from 1 species
CAGCAGUAGCCGCGGGAAUACGGAGGGUGCAAGCGUUAAUCGGAAUUACUGGGCGUAAAGCGCACGCAGGCGGUCUGACAAGUCAGAUGUGAAAUCCCCGGGCUUAACCUGGGAACUGCAUUUGAAACUGUCAGGCUGGAGUCUUGUAGAGGGGGGUGGAAUUCCAGGUGUAGCGGUGAAAUGCGUAGAGAUCUGGAGGAAUACCGGUGGCGAAGGCGGCCCCCUGGACAAAGACUGACGCUCAGGUGCGAAAGCGUGGGGAGCAAACAGGAUUAGAUACCCCGGUAGUCCCUGUCUCUUAUAC